AAGUUAGCGGCGGACGGGUGAGUAACACGUGGGCAACCUGCCUGUAAGACUGGGAUAACUUCGGGAAACCGGAGCUAAUACCGGAUAAUCCUUUUCCUCUCAUGAGGAAAAGCUGAAAGACGGUUUACGCUGUCACUUACAGAUGGGCCCGCGGCGCAAUAGCUAGUUGGUGAGGUAACGGCUCACCAAGGCGACGAUGCGUAGCCGACCUGAGAGGGUGAUCGGCCACACUGGGACUGAGACACGGCCCAGACUCCUACGGGAGGCAGCAGUAGGGAAUCUUCCGCAAUGGACGAAAGUCUGACGGAGCAACGCCGCGUGAGUGAUGAAGGUUUUCGGAUCGUAAAACUCUGUUGUUAGGGAAGAACAAGUACAAGAGUAACUGCUUGUACCUUGACGGUACCUAACCAGAAAGCCACGGCUAACUACGUGCCAGCAGCCGCGGUAAUACGUAGGUGGCAAGCGUUGUCCGGAAUUAUUGGGCGUAAAGCGCGCGCAGGCGGUCCUUUAAGUCUGAUGUGAAAGCCCACGGCUCAACCGUGGAGGGUCAUUGGAAACUGGGGGACUUGAGUGCAGAAGAGAAGAGUGGAAUUCCACGUGUAGCGGUGAAAUGCGUAGAGAUGUGGAGGAACACCAGUGGCGAAGGCGACUCUUUGGUCUGUAACUGACGCUGAGGCGCGAAAGCGUGGG
rnacentral:rRNA from 2 species